rnacentral:tRNA from 1 species
GCCUUCGUGGUGUAGUGGUCAGCAUGCUCGACGCGUAACCGAGAGGUCCGUGGUUCAAUUCCCGGCGAAGGUG